rnacentral:rRNA from 1 species
GCUUAGCCACAAAACUUGAACACCUACAUCACCAUCCGCCAGAGUACUACGAGCAUAUAGCUUAAAACUCAAGGGACUUGGCGGUGUCCUAAAUCCAUCCAGAGGAGCCUGUUCUAUAAUCGAUAAUCCACGUUAAACCUCACCACUAUUUGCCAACUCAGCCUAUAUACCACCGUCACCAGCUUACCUUAUUGAAAGUAUAAAAGUAAGCAAAAAUGAUUUCACAAAUACGUCAGGUCAAGGUGUAGCAUAUAUAGCGGUAAGAAAUGGGCUACAUUUUUUUUUUAAAAAUCACGGAUAACAAAAUGAAAUUAUGUUUUAAGACGGAUUUGACAGUAAGAAUAGAUAAUAAUACUUUUCUUAAAUUGGCCCUAGGACGCGC